UGCGUAGGCGGCCUAUUAAGUCAGUGGUGAAAGGUAUCAGCUUAACUGAUGACCUGCCAUUGAAACUGAUAGGCUUGAGUACAGACGAGGUAGGCGGAAUUUAUGGUGUAGCGGUGAAAUGCAUAGAUACCAUAAAGAACACCAAUUGCGAAGGCAGCUUACUAGACUGAGACUGACGCUGAGGCACGAAAGCGUGGGGAGCGAACAGGAUUAGAUACCCUGGUAGUCC
rnacentral:rRNA from 1 species